UCUCCAAGAUCAGAUGCACAUUCCGUGGAAAUAGAUGUGCUCGAUGGCAGCAUCAGAAGGGAAUCGAUGUGCGGGGAGCUAGGAUUAGAUGAUGUUAAGCUGAGGAUUUUAUAGUCUGUUUUUCUUCUAGGAGAGUCAACAAUAGGCCGGGGUUGUUUCAUCUUCCUGAAUAAGCAAGCAGGUUAUUCUGAGAGCUGAUUGACAUAUGCAUGGGCAGAUGUUUUAUAAACUGCAUUCUCUACAAACUGAAGGGGCAAAUGUGAUGGAUUCCAAGGCUCCACAAGGUAGGAAUUAUUAUCCUGUGAACAGCUCAGGAGGCAGCUUUGAAGAGGUGAGGUCUUGCUCAAGGUCUCACAGUGAGGGUGGGUUGGUGUCCAGGUGUGAGUCCAAAGCUCAUGAACUUUGCACUGUGUCAGACCCUUUGCCAUCUGCAUUCUGAUCUUCAGCACUCAUGCCUUAUCCUGUGAUUCGGCUUGCCAAUUUUCCCCGUAUCUUGUUGCUGGCCUAGGAGAGAUUUGCUCAUUUAAGAUGCCAUUGACCUUACCUAAUAAAAAGAAUCAGGAACCAAGGAGUCUGUUUAAUUCAUUAUUAAAGAUCAUUUCCUGUUAUUAUCUUCCCUAUAGCAAAAUGAGCUGUUAACUCUCCUGUUAGCAUAACCCAGCCAGUAUUACUAGGAAAUUAGGAAAAAAUCAGUUUAAUGAUAUGUGCGCUGAGCCCAGGGAAUUCCCCAUCUUUGGCGCAUAUUAACAUUAUGCCUUAGAAGUCGAGGAAAUGUUCUGUUAAGUGGAAAAAGAGUUGCAGAAAUUUUACUUUUAAAAGUCAAGUAAAAAGUUACUUUUUUUUUUUCCCAAGUCAAAUUAAUUUUUGUCUCAGGGCAAGAAAAAGUAAAUUAAAAAUCACAUGCUGCCGCUUCCUCACAGGCCCCAUUUCCUCCUGGGUUUCUGUCCCUCUUGGCUGGAGUUUUGGGUUUCUCUGGCCCAGUUUGGGCCUCGGGGGACACCAGGCUUCAAGGGUUUCUGCUCCCGGGAACCUCUGGCCAUGGCAGGGUGGGGCAGCCUGCUCGUCUUCUACCUGUCUUCCCUUUGAGGUACUUCCCUUACUCCCGGGCAGUUGUGGGGGUGAGGAGGGAGCAAGGACUGAGACCCCGAUGAUUCAGGAAGGUCCUGUGUUGCAUGAUGUGGAGUGUGGUUGACCCCUGGAUGAGGGGUUGCUGGGACACCGAUCACCCCUCCCUCCACUGGGCAUUAACAUAUCAGCUGGCCAGGGGCUGGUGGCAGACUUUAGUAGCCUCCACCAGACUCCCACAAAGGGCAGAAAUUGUGCUGGUGUGACGUAAAUGAGGUGCCUAGUUAUGAGUGGGUACCCAGGAAGUGAGGAGCUCUGGACAAAAGGAGCAGGCAGUGAGCAGGUGUUUCAUGGUCAGGGGAAUACAGCACUUUAGAGCCCCGUGCUCACGUGUCUGAACCCAUAGGGGUGCCUGGGUAUAUGUGGGGGGAGACACAGCAGCCUGGCGUGGUCAAUGAGUCAUUGGGCUUGGAGUCCACAGACAUGUGGUGGAAUCCUAGCUCCUUGUGGCCUCGAGAAAAAUCACAAAACUGCUUUGGGCCUCCGCCUCCAUAUUUUCAGCUGGAAGAGAGACGUUUGCCAACCUUUUCAGGUUGUUGUUUUACAAACUGCAUUCUCUACAUAAUGAAGGGCGCAAAUAUGUGGUGAAGGUGGCAGGUGAUAACGUUUCUGGAGGCUUCACCACCAUGGAACUCCGAGAUCUCAGAACAGGCUGAGGGGACAGUGCUUGGCCAGGAUCACAGGAAAGGGGAGGCACUUGCGGAGUCCCUUCUGUGUGCCUGAAACCCUGUUAGGCUUACAACACAUUCGUUACAGGCUUAUGGGUUCUUGCAACUCAGGGAAUCUUGGGAAACCCAGUCAGGUGAUCAACUCAUCCCAGUUUGUCCAGAAUUUUCCUGAUUUUAUUAAUAAUAAUAAUUAAUAGCACUGUAAGUACCAUGACCUGGGAAACUUCCCAUUUCUUGGCAAAGUGGUCACUUUGCUGGUCAUCCUAUAAAUCUUUCUUGUUUUAAAGACUAGAGUUGGGGCAGAGACUAUCUGGCCCAAAGUUACAUGGUUAGGGACCACCUGACCUGUUUUUGAUGUGAACCAUGCUUUCUGGGCAAAGACAGAAUCCAGCUCACCUCCCACCAGCUCAAGCAGGACCCACACGCCACAUACAUGCAUCCAAAGAGAUGAAGUUUCCUUGGGCUCAUUUCACCUGUUGGUAUCUGACUUACAAUUGUUUUCUGUUAACUCCAUUAUCUUUAAUUUGCAAGAACGCAGCCAACAGGAAACCUCUGGAUGCUUUCUCUUUAAUGAAACACAAUUUGAUUACAAAUCAUCGGAGUCCCCUGGCAGACAGCCUUUUUUGGAGGAUUUUAGCCUGCCGUGGUCACACCAGCAUGAUUUCUGCCAUUUGUGGGAGUCCAGUGGGGGCUGCUGAAAUCCCCCACCAGGGGAGGUGGCCACCAGUCCCCCGUCAGCCCAUGUGUUAAUGCCAGCUGUUGAAAACACCCUCCCGCAUGGCCCUGUGGAUGAGGGGUGUUCUUUGUGGUUCCUUGGACACAGUGUGCCAGAAAUGCCUUCCAGGUUCACCAUACCAUUUUGAUUCAAUGUGCAAGGUUUAUUUUUUCUCAUAUCUACCAACAGACAUUAUCAUGGUCAAUGUCCAGCAGACCAGAUAUGGGGUGAUCAAUUGUUUGAAGGUAAAAGGUAAGAGCCAUGAAGCCAAGUUACAAGAACAUCUGUGUUUACUGGGACAUUGGAGAGCCUUAGCUCAUGGAUAUAUAAGGCGACUUGGGCAGCAUCAGCCUUAUAGGGCUGAAAGGCAACCCCCUGGGGCAGUAUCCUUAAUGCGGCAAUUUAUUAGACAUGGUGAGAGCAGGUCACACUGUUCCUGGGAGUGGAGUGGCGUGAUCAUGGCUCACUGCAGCCUCAACCUCCUCCCCAGGUUCAGGUGAUUCUCCCACCUUAGCCUCCCGAGUAGCUGUGACUACCGGCUGGGGCCACCACGCCCAGCUAAUUUUUGUAUUUUUAGUAGAGACGGGGUUCCACCAUAUUGCCCAGGCUGGUCUCAAACUCCUGGCCUCAAGCGAUACACCUGCCUCGGCCUACCAACAUGUUGGGAUUACAGGUGUGAUCUGGUUCUUUCUGAUUGAGGAGUCUGUCUGGGCUCAGGAGGAGGGUCUUGUCUGCAUAAGAAGAUGGAUGAAACUUUCUCAGUUCCUUCCUGACACCAACAAGAAGAAACAGAGUGUAGCAUAAGCACACGGAACACUGGUCAAAAGGACAGGUUCUAGUCCUCACCACACCAUGAACUGGCUGUGUGAUCUUGGGCAAGUCAUUUCUCUUCUCUGGUCCACUCAGUGUCUCCAUUUGACAUACUGGAGAAUUGAAUUUAUCUGUCUCUAGGAUCUUUCCCUUUCACCUCCUUCCAUGGUUUUCUAAGUACCAUCUCUUUAUUUCUUACUCGCACACAAUCUCACCUCUGCCUUCUAGCUAGAAUGCAUGUUUCUGAGGCCAAGCAUCUUCCCCGAGUGCUCCCUAGUAAGUGCCUCACACAUGUGGGAUCAGAGCCUGUGGUUGCAUAGCAGUAAAAUUAGCAUUACCUGCAGGUGGGGGUGAGGGGUUUCACCCCAUCCUCCAGCUUCUUAGAGGAGAAAAUAUUUUAAUGGUUGGAAACAACCUGGAUCUACACAAAAGGGCAUGAAAACAGCCACUUAAAUUCUACGUGCACUUGGCACUGCAAAGAUCAGAAAACUCCCAUCAAGAUAGAUGAUACGAAGAAAAAAAGCAUGAGCACUUUGCUUUAAUUUAACUCAAGAUGACACCUCCAUCAUCCCGUGGUCUGUAGUCUCGCGAGGGUCCCCGCUCCCUUUUGCACAUGCGUGGUGUGUGUUCACACGGACUCUUCUACAGCUUUGCAUCGCUGGGUUCACAGCAUUCCUCCUCUCCCUCAUUGGUUCCACACAUUCAGCCAUAGCUGUUUGUGACUUCUCUCCUUCUGCAAUUGUUUGAAAACAGUGUCAGAGCAUGGCUCCUUUAUCUUGCUGUGAUUGCUUUAUUUAUUUAUUUAUUUUUUUGAGAUGGAGUCUUGCUGUGUUGCCCAGGCUAGAGUGCAGUGGCACGAUCUCAGCUCACUGCAACCUUUGCCUCCUGGGUUCAAGUGAUUCUCCUGUCUCAGCCUCCCGAGUAACUGGGAUUAUAGGCAUGCACUACCACGCCUGGCUAAUUUUUUGUAUUUUUAGUAGAGACAGGGUUUCACCAUGUUGGCCAGGCUGCUCUUGAACUCCUGACCUCAAGUGAUCCGCCCACCUUGGCCUCCCAAAGUGCCGGGAUUACAGACAUGAGCCACAGUGCCUGGCCAUUGCUGCGAUUGGUUCUAAGAGUCUUUCUGCCCUUUUUUCUCUCUUCCUGCUAUGCUAACCCUCACGGGACUCAGAUUUCUUGGGAAAGUUGCACAGGAAUCAUCUACUUUGCAGGGUUAGAUAUCAGCCUUGCCUUGAAAGGCUGAGCAUCAUAAACAGUAACACACAGUCUGUUUUCUCUCCCAUACUCCCACCCUCCCACACCUCAUACUGAAUAUUUAAGAGGUAUUGAGCUUUGGGGAAAAGAAGGGAGGAGAUGUUGGGGAGGAGGUGUUCCUUGAUAUGAGAAAGCCCAUUUCCAGAGAAUCAGAAGACUUGAAUUCAAUUCUGCUGUCAGGGGUCAUGGGGAAGUCACUUUAUCAUCUGGGACUCAGUUUCCCCAUAUGAAAAAUUGUCAUGAAAAUAAGUAAACCAUAAAGUCCAUUUUAAACUCCAAAAUAGAGAGACCCUCCCUCUCCUUUUCUAAGACCUUACUUAGGGUGAGGUCCCAUCAAGGUUCUUUAUAACGUACCCCUUUUAUUUAUUUGAGAUAGAAUCUUGCCCUUGUUGCCCAAACUGGAGUGCAGUGGCACCAUCUUAGCUCACUGCAGCCUUGAACUCCGGGGCUCAAGCAACCCUCCCACCUUAGCCUCCAGAAUAGCUGGGACUAUGGGCAUGUACCAUGCCCAGCUAUUUUUUUUUCCAUAGAGAUGGGGUCUCCCUGUGUUGCCCAGGCUGGUCUCGAACUCCUGGCCUCAACUGAUCCUCCUGCCUCGGCCUCCCAAAGUGCUGGGAUUAUAGGCACGAGCCAACAGUCCCAGUCAUGCACUCCAUUUAAUCCUCAAAACAGCCCUUUGAGGGUGGUGUUAUUAGCCUCAUUUUACAAAUGGGGCAACCAAGGUUCAGAGAGGUUAAUGGACCUGCCCAGUGAAAAAGUUUAUGAAGCCAGAGACCAAAUCCAGAAUUUUCUAACUCCAGCACCCAUGUUUCUAACUCUAGAGAUUUUUCUAACUCUACCCUCUCAAAUAUGAUGAGACUUUGGUGGUACUCUCAGGAAAACUGCUGAGAAAAUGUUGCUUGAUUUCCCUGCCCCCAUUUGCACAAUGGGUUCUAUGUCAUGGAGAACUUUCCUUUCAAAAAAUUUCCAAAGGACAAGUGAUGCAUUAUGUCUUCCAUUUUUGGCAACUUCACACAAUAACCUUAACAGCCUCUUGGCUUCCAUCUCCCAGGGAUGGCAUUUCAAGUAUGCCUGGUCAUGGAGUGCCUGUGGUUUAAAAUUUUAAUGGAAGACCCUUACCCCCAUCUGUCUUGAUUCGCUGUUGCCCUGUCCCUGGCUUCCUGGUGGUCACUGAGCUCUGCGGGCCCCCCUUCCCCCAGCCCGUCUCCUCCUGCCAUUGAGAGGGGCUGUUCUCUUUCCCAAGCGGCAAGCCCCUGAUUCUUUUAGCACAGCCAAUGGGCUCCACUGGGGCUUUCAAGCUUGCUGGCAAUUUUGGAUGUCAGCAGCUGGGAAAAUCAAGCUUAAUAUUUCAUGACAUUACAAAGUCAGUUUGUUCUAUUUUCAUCCCAGAUAGAGUGAAAAAGCAGUGUUCUCAUCAGGAGACUCUCCCAAAAAAGUGGGAGGCAGUUGGUCUGGGAGCCACAGCAGGUUGGCGGGGAGUACUGGGCAGGCGGUCAGCAUUUGGAUGCUCUGGUUUUGGCUUGACAGCCAACUAGCAGUUGACCUUCGGCGAGUGAUUCUCUCUCUGAGCUUUGACUUCCUCCUGCACAAAUAAACGAUCUCUCAGACCUUGUCAAGAAUAACUUUAGACUUUGCUGGGAAUGCAAUAUCUUCUGACAAGGAGGAGUUGGCUGGAACAGCCUGGGCUCUGUACCUGUCCCUCAGAUGUCCUUUGGUGCUUUAGCCCAGUGACUCAUCGAUCUCCCAGCCAUGGUUGAAGACAUGCCUGUUUCCCCUUCGCCAUCUGCCAUGACUGUAAGCUUCCUGAGGCCUUCCCAGUCAUGCUUCCUGUAUAGCCUGUGGAAACAUGCGCCAAUUAAAACCUCUUUUCUUUAUAAAUUA